rnacentral:rRNA from 1 species
CAAUAGCGUAUAUUAAAGUUGUUGCAGUUAAAAAGCUCGUAGUUGGAUUUCUGUCCAAGACGACCGGUCCGCCUUACGGUGUGUACCAGGUUUGACUUGGACAUUUUCCUGUGGAACGCACUGCUAUUAAUUUAGUGGUGUGUGACGCAGGACCUUUACUUUGAGAAAAUUAGAGUGUUUCAAGCAAGCGUUUGCUUUGAAUACUGCAGCAUGGAAUAAUACUAUAGGACUUCGGUUCUAUUUGUUGGUUUCUAAUGCCGAAGUAAUGAUUAAUAGGGACAGUCGGGGUGGUUUGUAUUGAAAAGCUAGAGGUGAAAUUCUUGGAUUUUUUCAAGACAAACUACUGCGAAAGCAAUCCACUAGGAUGUACCCAUUAA